CCUACGGGAGGCAGCAGUAGGGAAUUUUCGGCAAUGGGGGGAACCCUGACCGAGCAACGCCGCGUGAACGAAGAAGUUAUUCGUAAUGUAAAGUUCUUUUAACAGGGAAGAAAGAGAAAUUUGACGGUACCUGAAGAAUAAGCUCCGGCUAACUACGUGCCAGCAGCCGCGGUAAUACGUAGGGAGCGAGCGUUAUCCGGAAUUAUUGGGCGUAAAGGGUGCGUAGAUGGCAUAGUAAGUCUUUUGUAAAAAUGCUGGGCUCAACCCAGUAGGGCAAAAGAUACUGCAAGGCUAGAGUAUGACAGAGGCAAGUGGAACUACAGGUGUAGCGGUAAAAUGCGUAGAUAUAUGUAAGAACACCAGUGGCGAAGGCGGCUUGCUGGGUCGAUACUGACAUUGAGGCACGAAAGCGUGGGGAGCAAACAGGAUUAGAUACCCCUGUAGUC
rnacentral:rRNA from 1 species